rnacentral:sRNA from 1 species
UGUAUCUGAAGCCUGACGAGGAUGAGAACCUCCGGGGNNNNNUUCGACCCGAGCGAAGCGAGAGAACGUUGCGUCAGCAACAGCCCGCAGGGCGAGCCACGCAGUGGCGAGUCAUCCUCUAUCACCGACAG